rnacentral:rRNA from 1 species
CCAGCAGCCGCGGUAAUUCCAGCUCCAAUAGUCAAUGUUAAUGUUGCUGCAGUUAAAAAGCUCGUAGUUGAACUUUUGGCUUUGGUGAGAGGGCGGCUGUCUCUGAUGGUCGUCUACACUCAUCGGGCCUUUUUCGGGGAGAGCGCGUCGGGUCUUCACGGAUUCGGCGCGGGAUCCUCGUCUUUUACUGUGAAAAAAUUAGAGUGUUCAAAGCAGGCGUUUCGCACAUGAAUACUAAAGCAUGGAAUAAUAAGAUAGGACUUUGUCGUAUUUUGUUGGUUUGCGCGACGAGGUAAUGAUUAACAGGGACAGUUGGGGCUACUCGUAUUCGGUUGUCAGAGGUGAAAUUCUUGGAUUUACAGAAGACGAACGAUUGCGAAAGCAUUUAGCAAGGAUGUUUUCAUUAAUCAAGAACGAAAGU